rnacentral:lncRNA from 1 species
GGUUCUCCAUGAUUUAUUAUUUUAUGAUUCUUCCUCUCUAUAUUCACUCCCACCUAUUCAAAAUUUUCUUUCUAUCCCAAGUGAAUCUUUGCCUUAGGUCUCAAGGCUAUUUGUCUAUUUGGUGGUAACAUUAUUCUUCGCCUUUUACCUUUCUGAGGAUUUUAACGUUAUCGAAAUUAACUACGUCCGCUGCUGCACAUUGUGAGGGUCCAAACACUGCAGAGCCUUUCUCUUUUUCCAUCUCUUUCUUUCUUUCUUUUCUUAUGUUUUAUUUUUAAUAUGUUUAUCUAAUUUAAAAGGAUUUUGAUGUGACGCGCCGCAGC